CGAGGCGCGCACCACGCGGCCCCUUCCUCCAGGCAUUCGCACCACCCCCCACUCCCGUUGCAUGCUGGGAUUGUAGUUGAUCGCCUGCGAUCAACGGCCGGAAGCGGCUAAAACUACUCCUGCCUGCAUACCCCGCAGGAGCAAACCGCGCCAUGUCUCCCUCCAGGGAUCCGCACCGCUCACAAUCCUGUUUAGUGCUGGGAUUGUAGUCCUGCGAGCCUACGACUAAUAGCUGGGUGCGGAUAAGAGACUACAGCUCCCCCCAUUCCCAGCAAAGGUCCCUCCUCCACCGAGCUCCUCCAGGCUUCCAGUGCAGUUCCGCCGUGCGGAGGGAAGCUUGGCUGUUCACAAACCUCUCCUGCCCGCGAGGAGACAGCUUGGCCAGGGCGGCUGAUCUCACCUUGUCAUUGUGACACGGUGUCUCCCCAACGUGCUGGCUUCAUGACUUGUGCCCAGAGUUUGAUUUUCCACAGACCAGGUAGAGGCCAAGAGCCUCUCACAGACUCUGCAGCAGGGUUGCUAUGAUUAACUCUUAAGUACUCCACAACUACACGCUUUUGAAACUGGCGUUGGCAUAGCGUUAGUUCUGUGCAGGGCGGACGCAGCAGGACAGAAUCUCCCUGGGCAUCUUUUCGGAGCAUCAAUUUUACUGCAAAAUUUUGAAAAAACAAAUUUAAUUGAUUUCCAAGGUUUGUCAAGGAGGACAGAAACUCAGAGCACCCUGCACUUGGGGAUCGGCACUAGGAGCUGCUCUCUGGAUGGGGAGAUGGGAGCUAGCAGCUCACAAUGGGGUCACAAGACAUCUGAAAAUACUCAGAAGUUACAAGAAUUCAUAAAAUACCCACCAAAGCUAAUAGAAAACAUGGAACCUUCCAGGACAAGAAGUAAAUUAAAAGAACAACCCAGAGGAGUAAUCAAAGUGAGAAGCCAGUGCCGCCUCCAGGUACUGGAUGAUCACAGGGACCUCAGGCUUUGGGGAUUAUUCAACUACCUUCUUGGAAUAAACAACAAAAAAAGUAC
rnacentral:lncRNA from 1 species